UGGCCUUUUUAGCCACCAGCGCACUUGCAGCAAGUGUGGGUAGAGUCCUUCCCAAAUCUUCAUUCGCAAAGCCUAGCCAUGAUGACUUUAGCAAAUUUACAGAUUCAAAACUUCAUGGAGUCUUUCUGGUGGUAGUGGAGUAGAGUCUAGAAGAAAUUGUCACUGUUCAAUGCAAGUUCAGUGUUUGUUGUUCGGGGAUAUGAGAGCUUAAGAUCUCCCCUUUUCUCCCUUUCUAUUCUUUCAUAUUGUUGUUCCUAUUCUUUAGAUUUUUUUCCCUUAUUUUUUAGCCUCUUUGCAGACACAAACCCAUCCUCUAGAAAAGAAGCACGAAAGUCUCUGUAUUCAACAAUGAGGUAUGUUGGGUUAGCUGCAGGAAUCCCAUCACAUCCAAGAAAAGCCAGCCUGUUUCUGGCUUUUCUGGCUUUAAAGGCCAAGCUGAUGUGGGCUACAGACCACUUCAAUUCUUCAUCUGAUGAAAAGAUGUCAUUCCAGACUGCGUAAGACUCAACUUCAUCUGGAUCCUUGCUGCCGUGAAGGUGUUUCAGCCUGCCAGAAAUACAGCCUCAUCAGAGUCCUUGCCACUGUCUUCACUAGGCAAGCAGCCACCCCCACUUGGGGACCUACAGCUUAAGUCCUCCACACCAGACUCCUGAUCACUGUUGGCUGAGAGGUCAGGAUCAGAACUUUUCAGGUUGUCCUGUGUCAAAAUCAGGGCAGAAUCUUCUUCAUCCCCUUGUGAAGGACUCCGGGAUGGGAAUGACUUCAGAUCGUUGCUAUAUUCCUGGGGAGUGUUAGCUAAGCUAUUGUUGGAAGUAGACAGCCUUAACUGUUUGCUUCGGUCUUGUUGCUUACUCUUGACUUUAUUAUCACCUAAUUGUGAUUUCUGAAGAUUCGCCAGUCGCUGAAAUAAAGGAAACAGUAUUACAUGCACACAUUUAGGGCCAGUAAUCCUCUUCUGUGUCUUUGCCUUUUUUUUUUUUAAUAUAAGUUCAGAGCCCAACCCAACUAGCACCCUUUAAAACUGUCUAUGGAGUAUGAGAAGUGCACAAUUUCUCACAAACCAAUGCUGAUUUACAGCAGCCUUCUGAGCUACAAUUCUUUCUGAAUUACAGAAGGAUUAAACUCACUUUCAGUAGUACUUGUGCACCAACACAGGUAAAAUUUCAUCCUUAAAGAAUAAAAGACCACUUCUGUGUCUUAAUGCAAAACAUUCGUGACAAUUUAUCUGAAAACAAAGAUGACAGAUGAACAUCCUCAUUCCAGAAAAGGAUUAGUGUGUAGGUGACUCCGCAGCAUAUGGAAUUGGGUUUCAUUUAUCAUCAGUUACCAAAACUGAGGUAUCAAGCUCAAGUGUUUAUUACCUCUCCUAAGAUCUCCAGCUCUUCUUCCAGCUGCUGAGUUUCUUCCUUCACUGCCAUCAGAUAAUCAGUAACUGACUGUCGAGGAUGCAGCCCCUUUUCAAAGCGGUUGUACAUACCACUCCAGAACCUGGAAUUAAUGGGAAGGUCAGGAAUUUAGUGAGGUAGCAUCAUGAGACAUAAAUGCACACUUUUUUCUUUCUUUUUUUUUUUUUUUCCCCAGACAUUGUUCUAAAUGAUUCAUCCAUGGCUUAUGUGUCUUUAGAGUGCAUACACAUAAAUUCAUAGAGUAUUUGGCAAGAUUUGUUGUUCAUUUGCAUUUGCUCUGUCCUGAAGGUGCAACUCUCUGGACAUAAGCACCUUGAACCAAUUUUGAUAUUUAAUAAAAAGAAAGAUGGAU